rnacentral:snoRNA from 1 species
UGAUGAUUGAAAUAUGAUGAGUACACAGAAUGUUGAUUAGAGUGAAAAACAAUAAGAUCCAACUCUGAUUUCAUCUAAAG